rnacentral:rRNA from 1 species
UGGGGAAUUUUGGACAAUGGGCGAAAGCCUGAUCCAGCAAUGCCGCGUGUGUGAAGAAGGCCUUCGGGUUGUAAAGCACUUUUGUCCGGAAAGAAAUCCUUGGCUCUAAUACAGUCGGGGGAUGACGGUACCGGAAGAAUAAGCACCGGCUAACUACGUGCCAGCAGCCGCGGUAAUACGUAGGGUGCAAGCGUUAAUCGGAAUUACUGGGCGUAAAGCGUGCGCAGGCGGUUUGCUAAGACCGAUGUGAAAUCCCCGGGCUCAACCUGGGAACUGCAUUGGUGACUGGCAGGCUAGAGUAUGGCAGAGGGGGGUAGAAUUCCACGUNUAGCAGUGAAAUGCGUAGAGAUGUGGAGGAAUACCGAUGGCGAAGGCAGCCCCCUGGGCCAAUACUGACGCUCAUGCACGAAAGCGUGGGGAGCAAACAGGAUUAGAUACCCGUGGUAGUCCCACGCCCUAAACGAUGUCAACUAGUUGUUGGGGAUUCAUUUCCUUAGUAACGUAGCUAACGCGUGAAGUUGACCGCCUGGGGAGUACGGUCGCAAGAUU